GGUCCGAGUUGUAAUUUGUAGAGGAUGCUUUUGGUGAGGUGCUUUCCGAGUUCCCUGGAACGGGACGCCAGAGAGGGUGAGAGCCCCGUACGGUUGGACGCCGAACCUCUGUAUAGCUCCUUCGACGAGUCGAGUAGUUUGGGAAUGCUGCUCUAAAUGGGAGGUAAAUUUCUUCUAAAGCUAAAUACCGGCCAGAGACCGAUAGCGCACAAGUAGAGUGAUCGAAAGAUGAAAAGCACUUUGAAAAGAGGGUUAAAUAGCACGUGAAAUUGUUGAAAGGGAAGCGUUUGCGACCAGACUUUUUCCAGGCGGAUCAUCCGGCGUUCUCGCUGGUGCACUCCGCCUGGUGGAGGCCAGCAUCGGUUUCCUUAGGGGGAUAAAGGCCUGGGGAACGUAGCUCCUUCGGGAGUGUUAUAGCCCCUGGCGUAAUACCCCUCGGGGGACCGAGGAUCGCGCUUUUGCAAGGAUGCUGGCGUAAUGGUCGUCAACGACCCGUCUUGAAACACGGACCAAGGAGUCGAACAUUUGUGCGAGUGUUUGGGUGUCAAACCCUCACGCGUAAUGAAAGUGAACGGAGGUGAGAGCCCUCGCGGGUGCAUCAUCGACCGAUCCUGAUGUCUUCGGAUGGAUUUGAGUAAGAGCAUAACUGUUCGGACCCGAAAGAUGGUGAACUAUGCGUGGAUAGGGUGAAGCCAGAGGAAACUCUGGUGGAGGCUCGCAGCGGUUCUGACGUGCAAAUCGAUCGUCAAAUCUGCGCAUGGGGGCGAAAGACUUAUCGAACCAUCUAGUAGCUGGUUACCGC
rnacentral:rRNA from 1 species